ACCAGAAAUUAAUUCCUCUUGUGCUCCAUUUUUCGCCGCAUCGUGGCUAUAGUAAGCUUGUGUGGUGUUCGUGCAAGUUCCUGAGUGCAAUAGUUGGGAACUUGUUGACAAUUGGUAUCAAAGCGAGGUUCAAGGCUUGCACAACACUGGAUGAUUCGCCGAACCACCACACUCCUUCACCACGCGGUGGAUCACCAGCCCAAGGCUGAGGCGUGGCCGUCAGAGCUAUCAGGAGUACGCUCAAUUCAAACCAUAAACCUGGCUCUGAUACCAAAUGUUGAGAAGUUCCCCGUGAUCUGACCGAACCGAGAUCCACGUCCACGUGUUCAUAGCGAGUACAAAGAGGUGUCCCUGCAGCCUCACAACCACUCCAGUGCUUCAACAAAAACUUGCUACUUAAAGCGGGCGAUACCUCUCACUGACAAACCGAGCCAACGGCGGUGGCGUCGAUGCGGAUCAGCGCCGCCACGCCGUCUCGGCUCUCCCAGCGCCGGCCGACGGUGAGUCGUCUCCCAGCUAGGCUAACGUCCGACGUUCCGCCUCCGACGAUGAUGCGCCAUGGUCUGGGCUUACGGCUGCACCAAUCCAGUUGGUUUAGCACAGAAGAGUGACAACGGCGCAGCUGAAAUUUCUCUGCAUUGCAACUGAGAGAGGAAGAUACAUUUUCAGUUGCAAGGUCGUCCUCUGAAAGAAUAAAAAUCCAGCUUGUGCUGGAAAUUAGAAAUUGGCAAUUUGGAUAGAUGAUAUUUCGUAGUAGAUUACGACGGUUUACUAUCUAAUGAAGGAGAAAAUAGUAUAUCUAUCACUCUUAUCAGGUGGUUUCGCAAAAAUAGCACCGCUAACAUGGGCUUCGCAAAAAUACCAUCCCUAACGUGUGCAUUGCAGCAGAUAUACCAUUUUGGAGCUUUUUUGCAUCUUGCUCCUCCUUUUUGGUCCCUGUCAGAUUUUCUCGGACGAAACUGCCCCUCUUCAUUUUUUCUCUCCAGCGUGCGUGCGUUUCCUCUCGGUUCUGU